rnacentral:rRNA from 1 species
AGCGAACGCUGGCGGCAGGCCUAACACAUGCCAGUCGAACGAACUCUUCGGAGUUAGUGGCGGACGGGUGAGUAACACGUGGGAACGUGCCUUUUGGUUCGGAAUAACUCAGGGAAACUUGUGCUAAUACCGAAUGUGCCCUUCGGGGGAAAGAUUUAUCGCCAUUAGAGCGGCCCGCGUCUGAUUAGCCAGUUGGUGAGGUAACGGCUCACCAAGGCGACGAUCAGUAGCUGGUCUGAGAGGAUGACCAGCCACACUGGGACUGAGACACGGCCCAGACUCCUACGGGAGGCAGCAGUGGGGAAUCUUGCGCAAUGGGCGAAAGCCUGACGCAGCCAUGCCGCGUGAAUGAUGAAGGUCUUAGGAUUGUAAAAUUCUUUCACCGGGGACGAUAAUGACGGUACCCGGAGAAGAAGCCCCGGCUAACUUCGUG